AGGAUUCCCCUAGUAACGGCGAGUGAAGAGGGAAAAGCCCAGCACCGAAGCCUGCGCAGAUUUGCUGUUAGGCAAUGUGGUGUUUGGGUCGGCUCGUGGGACCACCACUCCACUCGAAGUCCAGCAUUGAGUAUGGUUACUGGAUUUGGCCCAGAGAGGGUGAAAGGCCCGUACGGUGGAGUAUCAGACAUGUGAGGUGGUUCACCAGGUCGACCUUAGAGUCGGGUUGUUUGGGAAUGCAGCCCAAAGUGGGUGGUAAACUCCAUCCAAGGCUAAAUACAAGCACGAGUCCGAUAGCGAACAAGUACCGUGAGGGAAAGUUGAAAAGUACUCUGAAGAGAGAGUAAACAGUACGUGAAACCGCAUGCAGGUAAACGGGUGGCGUCAAGCUGCAAGCCCGGAGAAUUCAGUCGGCUAGGUUGUUGUGUAUGCGCCUGGCGCAUCCAUCAGUCAGAGUAUGAUUGGGUAGUCCACUAGUAAACAGUGGGCCUGUCCGCAAGGGCAGGAUAUGUGUGCCGGGUGGGUGCCGGAGCAUGCUAUCCGUCUGAGGACUGUCUAGCCGGUGCACUUUCUCCGUGGUCAACACCACGACCGGUGGUAUUGCCAGUCUACUGUGUCCAAGUCGCAUUUGGUAGGUCCUUGUGGCCAACCGAGUGCGAUCACAGGCAAACUCAGUAAACGGCGUGAGGGUGUUUCGGCACUUUCAUGUGUUAUCGGCUACUGGUUGUCAACGGGCCGGCUCAGUGUUUGUUGUAACCGACACAGGGUGGUCCGGUGGGGCAUGGUGGUAAGAAUAACUGUGCAAGGCACUGGGGUUAUCGGCCUCAAAUGCGUCCUGCGUCCACGUUACAAGUGUAGGUGCUGUGUCGCCGCUGCCUGCUCGGUGCUGGGUGUGAUUGGCGUGUUGCCUGCGCAAAGUAGGCCCGCUAAUGGCUCGGUUCGAGGUGGGUAGUUGGUGGCGUUGUCGACGGCGUAGGGCGCGGUGGGCCUAAUAGUCAGUGGU
rnacentral:rRNA from 1 species